GAAAUGCGAUAAGUAAUGUGAAUUGCAGAAUUCAGUGAAUCAUCGAAUCUUUGAACGCACAUUGCGCCCGCCAGUAUUCUGGCGGGCAUGCCUGUCCGAGCGUCAUUUCAACCAUCAAGCCCCCGGGCUUGUGUUGGGGACCUGCGGCUGCCCGCAGGCCCUGAAAACCAGUGGCAGGCUCGCUGUCACACCGAGCGUAGUAGCAAUCACCUCGCUCAGGGCGUGCUGCGGGUUCCGGCCGUUAAACAGCCUUACAAAACCCAAGGUUGACCUCGGAUCAGGUAGGAAGACCCGCUGAACUUAAGC
rnacentral:misc_RNA from 1 species